GUUAAAUCGAAAAUUAAUUUUAGCAUUAAAUAUAAGUUGACAAUGUCACAAUAUCGGUUGUCAUUGUUUAAAGCCAAGCGAAGAAACCAGUUGAGCACAAUUAUGUAUUCUCAGGACUGGGGGAGAAGAUAGUGAUAUCUAAGGCUAAAUAUCAAUUAUGGUUUAUUAUCGGAUAAACUGCAAACAUUUCGACACGCAGAUAAUGACCGUCUAGAGCUGGAAGCAGAUUAUAAUAAACUCGUAUGAGAAAAAUUACUAUUUCGAAAAUUUUAUGAUUUUAUUUUCUUAGGGAUGGCGGCGGGUAAAAUCGUGCUUGCAACCGUUAACGUAUCUUUUGCUAUUUAUGUGCAGUAGAAUCUGGUCAGAAUAAAGACAACUCAAAUUGAAA